GGGAAAGAUAAGAGUAAAAAGAGAGGGAAAGGAAAGGGAAAGGGAUAAGGGGGACUAGAAGGAAGGAGAAAAGAGAAUAAGACAGGUAAAACAGGAAAAGAGACAGGGGUUCACGGUUAAGGAUAAGACAAGGGGAAACAAGCUCAACUUUGCACCCACGUCAUACGCGGGAGUUAAUGAGCAGACAGGAUUAAGACCGUACAAACCACCUCCGCCCCAGCCAGAUUAACAGGGGUCCACCCCACCGUCACCAAAGAUCCUAGAACUGAACUCGCAAGGCACGCACAAAAUCCUGUUUCUCCCCCAUACGGUGGG